rnacentral:lncRNA from 1 species
CUGCAACCUCAUGGUUCCUAGUCGGAUUCGUUAACCACUGCGCCACGACGGGAACUCCUUUUCUUUUAAAAAUUUUACUGGAGUAGGAGUUCCUGUUGUGGCUCAGCGGGUUAAGAACCUGACUAGUAUGCAUGAGGAUUCAGGUUUGCUCCCUAGCCUUGCUCAGUGGGUUAAGGAUCUGAUGUUGCCAUGAGCCUAUGGUUUAGGUCGCAGACUCAACUCAAAUCCUGAAUUGCGAUGGCUGUGGCUGUGGCUAUGGCCAGCAGCUGCAUCUCCGAUUUGACCCGUAGCCUGGGAAUCUCCAUGUGCUGUGGGUGUGGCCCUAAAAUGACCACAAAAAAAAAAACUUAUUGGGGUAUAAUUGACUUACAAUGCUGUGUUAAUUUCAGGUGUACAACAAGGUGAAUCAGUCAUACAUAGAUAUUUACCCAUUAUUUUUCAGAUUCUUCUCCCAUAUAGGUUAUUACAGAAUAUUGAGUAGAGUUUCCUGUGCUGUACAGCAGCUCCUUGUUAGUUAUCUAUUUUAUAUAUAAUUGGGUAUAUAUGUUAAUCCCAAACUCUUAAUUUAUCCCUCUCCCCCACGUUUCCUCUUUGGUAACCAUAAAUUCGAUUUUGAAAUGUGCUGUGUCUGUUUCUGUUUUGUAAAGUUCUUUUGUAUCAUCUCCCUAAGUCAUUCAUUAUUUUUUGUCAGUUGGAGUGAUUUAUUUUGUUCCUUGAAAAAUUAUUGAAAACAUACCCAUAUUAAGAUACAUGCGUUAUUUUACUGUCAUUUUUUAACUUGGGAAUUCUCUCUAAUAUUUCAAAAACUUUUAAUUAAAGCAUAGUUGAUUUAAAGUGUUGUACCAAUUUCUGCUACACUGCAUUAGUGACCCAGUUAUACAUAUUUAUACAUUCUUUUCGUAUACUAUCUUCCAUCAUACUCUAUCCCAAGAGAUUGGAUAUAGUUCCCUGGACUUUCUCUUAACUCUCAUUUCUGUCUGAAAUGAAUUGAUGGCAUGUUACCGAUCCUGCAUGCUAUCCCAACUUUUCCUGAGUAACCACUUCCUGCUGCCCUAGGACACUGGGAAUGGGGUCGUAAGGUGGAUACAAACACAUAUGCACACAGAAUUAUAUCCAGAGAUGAUUAUAGAUGUCCUGAUGACAUGACCACCUAUAUCCCACAGAUAAUCCCCUUAAUUGGCACAGCUUGAGAAAGAGCCAGGUUUUCCUGGCCUGUCUAUGAAUCUCUUCCUUACUGCCCAGAAUACCGUGGCAGGGAUCUCCAACCCUCCCCACUCCUGAUCUUCAGAGCUUUUUCACUGGCACAAGAUAAUUAUUUUUUCUAAUAAGGUCGCACAUCCCCUGACAAACCUACCGAAAUAGCUCCUCUUGGAGUGGAGCUUGGAUCAUGGAGUUUUAAAUGAGUUCUUCAGGAACGUCUUUGUGUCUUUGGGGUUGGAGACCAUUGAAAAGAGGGGGAGCAUUGCACCCAGGGAGUAAGACAUUCCUCAGCUGGUUUUAACGAAAGAAAAGAGAGUACAAUGUUGCCACCAGCAGGAGUUGGUAGAAAGACCCAGUGGAAGCACCAAUAAGCGAAAGGACAAUCAUCAAAGGAGUCUGGGCCACCAGGGAGGACACUUAGAUGCUUGGGCACCAAGAUAAGACAUAAAGGUGAUUCAAAACAAGACAACACUAUCGAGAGUCUUGCCUGUGAGCUUUCUGCCCCCAACAGACAAACUUGUGUUGGCCGAGGCGGAUAGGAAUGUUUUUUCCCAGCUAGGAAGGGCCAUCCUAAACCCAUGCUUAUCCACAAGCAGGGCACUCUGACUAACCCUCCCCUGGGCCCACCUCAGAAGAGCCCAAACUCAUUUCUUAAACAGAUAGGUCAAAGCAGGACCAAACCCAUCUGCAAUGACAACCUGCUAAUGUAGCGUUGCCUUAGCACACAGUAGUGUCAAUACUGCUUUUCACUUUUAGUUGUAUCAACAGCUGGGUUCUUGGCCUUGGGUUCCCUGACAAACCAAAUUAGAGCACAGGGCAGAGCCCUGACCACAGCCGCACUAGCAAGAUGAGCCAGGGUUUGCUGGAGGCAGCUCCAGUCAACCUCAAUUCUGCUUCUCUGGCUCCAUGACAAAGCACCCAGGGAAGGCUACCCAGACCUGCGACUGUCCAGCCUAGAUGGCUCACAUGCACCCUGGGUCCUGAAAAACACUUCUUCUCAUCUGGGCUCAAGACAACAGCAGUAGCCCUUUAUCUAGCAUCUUCCACAAGCUCUUUGCUCAACGUGUUACAUCCAUGCUUGUUCAUCUUGAUCAGAACCCUGCAAUAUAUGUAUUAUUUUGGAGCUCAGAAAGGUGAAUGUGAGAGAAAUUCAGAGUGUCUUAUCCCAAACCAUGAAGCCAAUAAAUAUAUUUUUGGAGUACCCAAGAAGCCUUAGUGUUUUUAAGAACUGAGCUAUGAAUGUGUUUGUUGUUAUAAAAGUUAUUUUGAAACAUAUAUAUUUUUUAAAAUGAGCUCUGAAGCAUUUGUUUUUUGCUCAAGAUCAAUGACUCAAUUAUUGAAUUAAAAAAUAAUAUCCCAAAUCUAAACAGGUGUCUGUCUGAGUGAGCCAGAGUAAGCAUCCAUAUGGUGGUAUUGCAAAAGUUUCUAUUCUGAGACCAAAUCUUAAGUCUAAAUUUUUUCUAAACAAGUGGGAUAUAAAAAUGAUAGUGUGGAGUUCCCAUUGUGGCUCAGUGGGAACCUGACAUAGUAUCCAUGAAGAUGUGUGUUCAGUCCCUGGCCUCGCUCAGUAGGUUAAAGAGCCAGCAUUGCCACAAGGUGAGGCAUAGGUCACAGAUGUGACUCAGAUCUGAUGUUGCUAUGGCUGUGGCUUGCAGCCACAGCUCUGAUUCUGCAGCCCAGGAAUUUCCAUUGCAUUGCAGGUGUGGCCUUUAAAAAAAAAGAAGAAGAAGCUUUAUGUUUAAAAAAGAAAAAAAGAAUAUAUGAAAAUUGAUGAGGUAACUUUGCAUUGGAUGAAAGUCAAGAGAGUAAAGAUCAAAUACCGAACUCUCUUAGAAAGAGCAGAAAAUUAUAUAGGGCUCCUGAAUUAGUCAGUCCAGGCUGCCAUGACAAAAAUCCACAGACUGGGGGACUUCAGCAAAAGAAAUUUAUUUCCCACAGUUCCGGGGCUGGAAGUCCACACUCAAAGUGUCAGCAGUGUUGAUUUCUCCUGAAGGCUCCUCAUUGGCUUGUGUAUGGCCACCUCCCCAGUACAUCUUCACGUAGCCUUUCUUCUGUGCCUGUGCAUUCCUGCUGUUUUUUCCUCUUCUUAUAAGGACACCAGUCCUAUUGGAUUAGGGCCCCCCCCUUAUGACUUCAUUUAACCUUAAUAACCACUUCGAAGGCCUUAUUUCAAAUGUAGUUACAUUGGGGAUUAAGGUGUCAACAAAUGAAUGACAAGGGGGAUACAAUUCAGUCCAUAAUAGCUCUUUAUCAGUUAGAGUGCAGUUCUUGGGGGAAAAAAGAUCUGAUGUAAAUCUCAUGGCACUUUCUUACGUAAACCAAGAGCUCAUCUCCUGGGUGUCAAGCUCUUCUUCCCUGAUCUUUUGGUGUAACAUGGUCACACCAUCUGAAAGGACCAAACUCCCCUGGACUCCAGGCCAUGGACAGGUCCGCCCUUAUUCUUCAGCUGUUUCUCUCAAGUCCGUUUGGCUCCUCUGAAGCAAGUUCUCAAGCCCCUUCUCCCUGUGCUACAGGUCCAUCAGCAUUUGUUCUCUGCCAGCUAUGGGGUUGGAACUCCAGGGCGCCCUAGGAUUCAUUGGAUGCCAUAUCUCUAGAUACUCUUCAGCAUCUCUUCACAUGUCCCAGCAGGUGCCAGCCAUCUCUUCCUGUUUCUGGUUAGGCAGGCAACUAAGUUCCUGUUCCUGAACUGAAUGGCCCAUCCUUCCCACAGCCAGUUCUGGAGUAAAGAUGAGGUUGAAUGGGGAGCCCCAAGGAUGCUCGUCACUUACUGGCUCAGAUGACCAGCCCACUUCUUUCUUGGAUUUCCUAGGUCUCCUUGGUGCAUACUUACGCACACUGCUCAGAGAAAGGGUUUUCCCAUCAAAUCACUGAGUAAGAUGGUAAGUGGGUCUUCACAGGUCCUGACAAUGAUCCAUUUAUCCAUCUGGGUAUUCAUUGCAGCAGGGUGCUCAGUUUGUGAAAAUUCACUGUACGCUUACGGCAUAUACAGUUUUAGUAUGUGGCACUUCAAUGCCAAAUUCCCGCAGUUCCCUCAGAACACACAAACACACUAACAACAAUUUUGAAAACAGCAAAUAAAUAGCAUGCAUAUUGCCACAGUCUUCUUGUUAUCUUCAUUUUUGUGUCCAUUCCUACAGACUCUGUGCAUAUUCUUUUCUUUAUUUCUUCCUUCAUUUCUUUCUCCCUUCCUCCCUCCUUCCCUCACUACCUCUCUCCUUCCUUCCUUUCUUUUUUUCUCUUUCUUUCUUUCUUUCUGUUGCAAACCCUCAUGCAUCCUUCUUUUCCCACUUAACAUAUGGAAUAAACAUUUCCUGCAACUUAGUUGCAAUAAUUGCAAUGGUUUCAUAUUUUACCCACAGUGUGGUGUGUUAAGCAUGGGAACUCUAUGAUAGCUCUCAGAAAGAGAAGGAAGAUAUUCUGGAGAUGACCCUAGGGGGUCUGAGGAGAAAUGCAAGCACCUGGACAGCUCCCUCCCAUGGUCCAGCCCAAGUGAAUGAAAUGUAGAACUGAGUGUUAACCUGCAGAAGCAUGGAUCUUCCCAUGAGAAACCAAUUUUUGUGUGAAGCAUGAUUUAGCAUCUGAUGCCCUUGGAUCUUAAUGUUCUCAUCAGUCACUUAAGAGCAGACAAUCCUGGCAGAUAACUUCAAGCUGAGAAUUGGAUCCCACUCUGUGAAAGGAGAAUGUCUGCCUCACAGGACUUGGUAUUAAACACCAUGGCAUGUAAAGUAUCUAGCAUAGAGCAGGUGCUCAAAUGACCUCAGAGGAAUCCUUGAGGUAUGGAUCAUCAGAAACCCCUUUAAACACACUUAACACCUGAGCUAUGGAUCAGAUAGACUUUCUUAUUGAAGGUUCAACCUAUCUCCUUUAAUUGCUGGUUAAGAGAACUUAUGCAAGUCAUUUCACCUCUGUGUGCCUCAG